GGUUUCCACCUGUGUCCAAUCACCUGCACCUCCCUUGUGUAUUUAAGCCGUGUGUCUCCUGUGUCACUUGUCGCGUCAUUGUCUUUCGUCACACAUGUUGCCUGCUGUUUUUCCUCCCGGUUCCUGUGUUUUUGACCUUUGACUAUUAAAGUCCUUUUGUCCCUGCAAGUCUGCAUUUUGAGUCCUGACUCCCACACACACUCGUGACAGAAUGACGCGACCAAAGAAGGACUCAGCAGAGUUUUUUCCCCUGGAAGACUUCAGGGGAACCCGUCUGGCAAUGGGCGGUCCACGCAAUCUCCAGCGGGCCGCCCGUAAUGGGGGAACGGUCCUCCCGGGGGUUCCAGCUGGGUACCUGUACUACUCCGUCUCCCCAUCUGGAGCCCUCAGUAGGCAUCUGGGUCACCAUCCGCCGCCCACCACAUGGUCCCCAGAGGAGGAGGCCAUUUCGUGGUCGUCCGGCGGCGAUUCUCACUGGGAGCGGGUAAUGGACCUUGCGGUCCGACUCCAGGCCACCUAUGCUCCCCACGCUCGGCCGCAGCGACGUCCCAACCCCGCUCGGUCGCAGCGCACAAUGUCCAGCGCUGGGCCGCAGCGACGUCCCGACCCCGCUCGGUCGCAGCGCAAAAUGUCCCGCGCUGGGCCGCAGCAGAUUCCCGUCCCAGCCUCCCGACCCAAGCCCAUGACCCCUGAUCCGACGCCCCGAUCCAGGUCCACGACCCCCGAGCCAGCGCCACGAUCCAUGCCCCCGGUACCGGCCCCACGAUCCAUGCCCCCGGUACCGGCCCCACGAUCCAUGCCCCCGACCCCGGUACCGGCCCCACGAUCCAUGCCCCCGGUACCGGCCCCACGAUCCAUGCCCCCGACCCCGGUACCGGCCCCACGUUCCAUGCCCCCGACCCGACCAGUACCGGCCCCACGUUCCAUGCCCCCGACCAGUCCCCGCUCCGAGACUCACGACCCCGACGCCCCCAGUCCCCGCUCCGAGACUCACGACCCCGACGCCCCCAGUCCCCGCUCCGAGACUCAGGCUCCCUCCCUCCCAUCCCAUGGUCCUCUCCCACCCUCCCGUUGGUGAUU
ensembl:lncRNA